rfam:Microsporum canis CBS 113480 supercont1.2 genomic scaffold, whole genome shotgun sequence.
GGACCUGUGGCUCAAUGGUAGAGUAUCUGAGUCCGGAUCAGGAGGCUGCAGGUUCGAGUCCUGCCAGGUUCG